GACGAACCGUGCGAACGUUGUUCGGAAUCACUGGGCUUAAAGGGCGCGUAGGCGGCUUGCCAAGUCAGGGGUGAAAUCUUUCGGCUCAACCGGAAAACAGCUUCUGAUACUGGCGGGCUUGAGGGAGGUAGGGGCGGAUGGAACUUCCGGUGGAGCGGUGAAAUGCGUAGAUAUCGGAAGGAACGCCGGUGGCGAAAGCGAUCCGCUGGACCUCCUCUGAUGCUGAGGCGCGAAAGCGCGGGGAGCGAACGGG
rnacentral:rRNA from 1 species